GCAAGGUCGAUUUGUGGACUGCUCUCCUGGAAGAUGUUAUUAGGACAAGGCAUGGAGUUGUAUGUGUAAAACAGAUCAAGAUGAUUUUCUCAACAUUGCACCCAAGCAAGUGCUGAGAAACAGGUUGGUGCUUGCCUGCUCAAAAGGUUGGGAAAUCUUGCUCAGCUGGGACUAGACUGCAUGCUUUCACAAGAAGGAUGAUGAGAAGCUGCAAAACUCUGGGCUGAGGACUCCCCCUUCCAAAGCUGCCCCUCACACAUCAGACACAAGGAGUGUGUGACACACUGCCAGCAGAACCACUACCUCAGCAGCUUCCGCUGACCAGCUCCAAGCAACGUUUCCUGUGUUGGUGCCCAGGAGGGCUGUGGGGCUGCAGUGGUCUCAGGUCCCUGAGACAAUCCAGAGAGAAAUCUUCUGCAUCUUCCCCAUGGCAUUGAAGGCAAGUCUAGGCUGGUCUCCUAGGCUUGAAAGAACACGAACCCAAGGGCAGUAUAAACCUGAGAUUUCUCAGACCCUCAUUGGAAAUGCCAGGCAAAAGUGCCAAAGACACUUGGGAAAACAUACUGUAGAAAAAGAAAAUCGUGAGCAUAUUUUCUCUUUUAUUUGUUGUCUCCCAAAUCCAAACAAGCUUGCUUCCCUUCCUGUAGUGCUGUUUUUGAUAAUCUUAUGCAAAAGGCACUGAAUCUGUUCUCGUUGCUGUCAAUAGCAAGAUGCCUGUUGCUUUUAACAGCUCAGCUCUUAAAACACCGCAUCCCAGUUGUCUGGCUGUGAGCAAUCCCAAGAUACUGAAAUGACAAUAUGGAACCUUUUUCCUCUCUGAAUGUUUCUCUGCAAAGCUUGACCAUUUUGGCUGGGGUAAAACAUGUGUCUAUCUGGGAUUCUUUCCAAGGAUGAGAUUUUGACAGCUGUGCUCAUGUUGGCAAAAAUCCUGACAUCUUGCGCUCCGUUGAAAUAGCAGAUUCUUAGUGGAGAGGGGUGGGAAUCCGAUUUCAUAGAUGAACACUUGUGAAUUGGAGGCUGUGAGCCUGGCUUAGCUCUUUUCACUUGGGGGAAGAGGUUCAGCCCAUCCACUGGGAACAGGGCGGAGCCUUUCUUUCUUCCCAUCCCCACCUGUGGGCACAGAUGGCUGCUGGGCAGUGGGGCUGAUAGGAGCCCUCUGUGCCUCUGCCAACUCUGUGCAGCAGUUUGGGACAUGCCUUGGACUGCACCCACGGAAGUGGGUGUCAACCCGUUUUGAGUACGUGCCUGGUGAUUUUAAUUUACAUAUUGGAUGCUUGGGCAUGGCUGGUGGGUGGUGUUAGCAUGCUCUCAAUGAAAAUUCACCUUUGUGUUUGCGAUCAAAGCUUGGCCUGCUGUUGUUGCCAGGUAGUUCAUGGAAAAACAAGGCCUUGGUAUAGCUUCAAAUAGCCUGUUUGCUUUUGUUUUUUAUUAUUAUUGCUACUGUGAUUAUUGGGUGGUUUUUUUUUGUUGGCUUUUUUUCUUUUUUUUUGGUAAAAUCUCUGUCUUGACCUGGUGAGAGAUUUCCCAUAAAAGCUAUAAUUACUGUAAGCCAAUGUAUUUCUGCAGUAAGCUUCAUUCCGAUGAGCUGUCAUUUAUUUCUGACGAGAAUCCACUUAUUUGGAGAUUAUAAUUCCUAUUUCCUCCACAAAUAGGGAAUGGUGGCACAGAAAAGUCAUGUCACAGUGUCCCCCAGGAGCUCCAGCCAAGGAUAGACCAGAGCUGGUUUGGUGUGAGUGCUUACUUUCUAGUGGCCAGUUAGUUCCUUUAUGUUUUACCAAGAAAAAUAAUUAAACAAACAAAAAAUACAUGCUAGGGUUUAAAACCAUGUCAACCAAAACUUUCCAUUGCUGGUGUUUCACUGAAAAUAAGGGAAAAUUAUUUUUUAAGACACAAACAGGACAGUAAGUAACAAGAAUACCCCAAGCAAAACUUACCUCCUGAUGAAUGCAAUUUGAACAGCUUUGCUCAGGAAAAAUCACACCAAAUCAGGCAUUUAUGGCUUUAGUCUGUGGCAAAUGGGGUGUCUUCUCUGUUACUUUAACUUUCAAGGAAGAACAGCUAAACAAGCUUAAGUUACAUACUCAACUGGGCAUUAAGUGAUGUAUAUAUACUUCAGAAAUCACUUGGUGGCCUUUUUGUAUGCUUAAGCACCCAAGCUUAUUUUAAGGAUUUGUCAUGCUGUAGGCCCCUGUUACAUGGUAGAUGAGUCAGAUUUGAAAUGGCUAAAUUUGGGACAAUCCUAGAAGGAGAAAUCUCACAUGCGCUGAGUGCCUGCAUGCUCUGCUGUGAUAGCAAUCAGACAUGCAGAUAAAUUGGAGGAGUUCUGAGCAAUUAAUAUUUAUCUGCAUGCUGAGUGACCAGAGAAAUGUCCAGUAACUACAAAGUUAUAUGGAAAAAACUGUACCCCCUUCUACUUUCCUUAUGGGAGAUGGGGUUUAAAACUGUAACGAAGAAUGUGUUACAUGGGCCCUUUCAAACUCCUGCUUUAAUGACAAGGUCUCCCAUUCAUUUUUCAAAAAGUAGGGCAAAUAUCAGUACUUCUGUGAGUACUGGGCUGCCACGUGUAAAAUGCUUCUAAAACCUGUAUUAGCAGGAUUAAAACUCACAUGUCCAUCUCUAUGCUGAGCAAUGCCAGUUGCACAACUGCCAUAAAUUAAAGUGAAAUUCCAACUUUAAGUUGUCUUGUAGUUCUGCAGCAUGUGUUUACUUGGGAAUAGCAUAAGGCAGAUGUCUUCAUCUUUGCUGAUUCUUAACAGGUCACGGGCCUUGACUUUAAAUAACUGAAAGCCUUUAAAAUAAUUUUUAAACAUGCUCAUCCCCCUUGACAGACCCUAACCUUUAGUUGGCCUUAACCAGAAACAUGCAGGAUAACGUGAUUUGAAAACCAACCAUCAUAAACCAUGCAAGAGUUUGAAAUAUAAAGAGUGAUCAUUACCUGGAACCAGUGAAGAGGUUGGAAUAACCAUUGCUCGUGUUUACACUACAGUAUCUCAGUGGGUUAUGUUCAGUCCCUUAAUGCUAACGAUUAAAAACCUAGCGGAAACACAUAGUAAUUAGAGAGAGCACGUACUUCUGGAAGCCCAUUCUGAAAGCACAGGGAUGGCUUUGAAGUGGGACUGGACGCAGCAACUGCUGCCGAAACAUUGCGAGAGUUAGGAGUGUUUUGCAGCAGGUAGCUGGUAACUGUAUGUAUGAUAAGCCGUGUGUUCUGCAGUGUGCAAUGUCUGCCUUCGCUCCACCUUCUAAUUGGCAUCUUGGAUGUCACUGAGACUUCUACAGCUUGCAAAAGGAGCCCAAGGCUGUGGGUGAAGGAUCGUGUAAAUGCUCUUAUUUUUUUCAUUUGUGUAAAGCUGAGCUUUGAUUUCUUCAUGGGGACUUUUUGCAGGAAGUGUGGGGCAGGAGUUUGGGAGGGGCACUGGGCAGGCUCUGUGCCCUGCCAAUGUUUUAACGUGGCUUCCAACAUAAAAGAGUUCUCGAGGAGCAUGCUGUAAACCUCAGGUUUUAGGAGUGUUUCUGUGGGUGAGGGUAUGGGUGUGUGAGGUGGAAUGUAUUCAUUUGGUUUUCUCAUUUAAACAAACAAAAAUACUCUCAUUAUAAUAAGAGAAGGAGGAGUGAUAAGGUUUGUGCCAUAAAAUUGUUUGCUGGGAAAGUUUUUCUGUUUUCCAUUACUUAAUUUCAGCUGAGAAGGAAAAAGCAUGAAAGCUGGGGAGAAAAAAAGCUACUUUCUUGGAUGUGCUUUUAUGAGCGCUAGAGAUGAUCCCUCUCUGGAGGGAGCAAUUCAGCAGCAUUUAAAGAAAGUGGAGGUAGGAAUAGGCACUCCUCAGCAUUCCUUAGCACUCCUUUGGGGUUCAGAGGGACUCAUUUUGGUCGUUGUCCCUCAUAUUUCUACACUGAAUCUCACUGCUUUCCUCUGUAAACACAAAUUCAGCUGCUGUCCCCAUACUGACACUGUGGAGACCUACCAGCUUACAUGCAGUGCCUCCCAUUUCAGUGGUGCUCCUGUCCCCAUGGUGUGUCCCCUUGCAGAUGACCAGCUGUCAGUUAAUACUCAUUAUGGUUCUUAAUCACUUCCCAUAAGCCUGCUCUUUCUUAAACACCACGGACCACGUUCCGAUCCUGCCUGUCACUCAGCAAUGGACGUUACCAUUGGCUCAGGUGUCUCUCUUGGUUCGUGCCUCCAGGCUGUGUCUAACUCUUGCCACUUGUUCCCACAUAACCUCUAAAUACUGCCAUUUGUGUCCCUCCUGUGGCUCACACACUCGUUUUAGGCUGUCAUUGCUGUGCGUCUCAAUUCUUGUGACAACGUGGCUAAUGCUGGCCUUGACAAAUCCAAUCUCACCCUGUUCACGCAUGUUCUUUCUGCUGCAGAGAACUUCCCUGCCUGCCAUCCUUCUCUCUGCAGCUCUCUUGCAAGCCUGCAUUUUAUCAUAUCAAGCAUGAUCUGCUUGUCUUCACUCCCAGGGUCUUUAUGGCCUUUCUUCACACAAUGUAAUAUUUUCCUUUUGUGGUUAAGAUACCAGUUAUGGCGCUUGACAGGUUCACCAUGCCACUCUCUGCUGCUUUCAAACUUUCAAAGCACCCUCGUGUGUUUCUCCAUGCCAUUAGGGCAGUUCCACUGCACUCUUUCCAAUUUCAAUCUUUUCUCAGAUGCCUGUAAAACCUUUACAGCAGUGAAGCUGUUGUGCUGAGACCCGCGAUGUCUGUGCUAACUUCAGUGGUUUCUGUGGGGCUCCCCUUGCCCCUAAUUCAUCUGUUGGCUUUUGGCUUUAAGGCUGCCCGAUUGGGAGCCAUCUGCCUGUUCUGGCUUUGCAUGCUGUCAGUUGCUGUGGGAUGCUGUCCCACAAACGGAAUCUAUGCUGCAGUAAUACAUAAUUGUAAAAAUAGACAAAAAAAAAAAAAAAAGCAGAUAGCACCAUGUGUUUCUUGUCACCAGCCUGUCAUUAUCCUUGUGACACUGAGCAAGCACUGAUCCUACUGAAAGUUGAAGGUUUUUUAACUUGCUUAUGGGGAAAUGUGGAGGAAUGGAGUCUCAUCUCUAUUCUGUGCCACUUGCAAAGGGCCCUUUGGUCCAUUCACAUGAGGGGAAUAGGAUUAAAAAGCACGAUGCCAGGAAGUGGUACCAGCAUUUAUGCAAUUUCAGUUCUGUGCCUCCUGCCCAUCCUGGUGUUGUCAAAGAUUCCUGCUGAUCGGUGGGCUGUCAGGGCAGCAGGCUCCUGAAGCUCCGUGCUCUAGGAAGCCACUGUGAACAACGACCUUCCAUCCUUUUAUUUUGCCCUUGGAAAAAAAUAACAAAAGUAAAAAAUCAGAUGCUGAAUUGUCAGGCUGCAGUGCGGGGCUGAUGGGCCAUUUCAUGUACUUAUUUAUUUAUUUAUUGGUGAAAAGUAGGGGCUCUGGUGAAAACCAAAGCAAAAAAGAAUACGCAGCUCUGUGUCAGGAACAAAGGUCACUGCCUUUGCAGCAGCCAAGUGUGUAGCCCAAGGGCAGUCAACAUCUUGAGCCUUCCACCGUGGCUUUGGGACCUUUUACAAAAGCUGGGCACAUUUCCAGCACCGAGCUGUACGAAGGACAGUUGACCCAUUUUGCACCUGGGGCAUCUCAGCUUUAUUUCAGUUUCACAUAAGGCUUUGUCUAGGUUUAUUUUAUUUAAUGGGCCUCUUUUUUUUUUUUUUUCCUGGUUUUACUGUCACAGGAAAUUCUCACUGUUCUAUUACCUUUUUCCUGUUGGAACCGGCCUUAAAAUAAAAUGAAUAAAUAAAUACAUAUGCAUACACAUAAAAACAUGCAGACAGGAAAGCCAUUCAGAUCUGGAGAGGCCUUGAUAACGCUGCUGAUGAGGUUGCCAGAGUUUUCCCUGAGUUGGAGCUCAAACAAUUCCCCACCGCCUCCCCAGCGCCUGGGAACUUGGGCUGUGGAAGCUGUGAAGCUUCUAAUUCUGACUACAGGUGUUUGGUUUGAAAGACACCACGUGCCACUUUGUAAUCUCAUUUCGGAAAAAGCUAAUUAAAUAAAAAUACAGAUGUGUUACAGUCCCAGUUCCUGAAAUCUGAAGCGUCCAUCGGUUUAAGUAGAGAAUAAACCUCUCUAGAGGGGUGCUUUCCAUUUGUCUUCUUAAAUAUUAUCUGGUAUCUGUGGUUUAACUAAAGGGUGUUCCAGCUGCCAACGUUUGUUCUGCGCCAUCUCUUCACAGCAGGAACAUUGUGCUUUCACAAAAACAAUAAGGUAGGAGUGCUUAAACUGCUGCUGCUGCUCCAUAUAUCCAAAUCUUCCUGCUAGUGUUUACUCAUUGUGUGUUGUGUUCAGUCAUUCAGAGCUCAGCACCAUUUCCUUCAAGUACUCUGUAUUGUCAAAAUCAUGCCUGGGGAGCAAAGCAGUAGCUAGCCCUGGUCAUCUUGGUUGGAACAAAUUGCGUAGUUGCCGGUCUUGCUCUCUGGACUCCUUAACAUGACAGCUGUAAAUACCUGUAUAUUCUGGAUAAACUGGAUGAAAACCUCAUUUUGAAAAAGGUUAGCUACCUUUGUCAUGGACUGUUUGGGAACAGUGAUGAUAGUAGCAAUGCUAACAAUAACCUAGCUGCGAAAUUCAUCUGGUCUCAGUCUAGCAAAACAUUGAAUCCCAUGCUCGACUUUUUAAGCACAUGUGCAUUCCUGUUCGGCAUAGCUCCUUGCUUUUUAACCACUAGAUUUCAGCAUGUGCUGUUUCUGAUGUUUAUUUGAGCCCCAGUGCAGCACCCAGCUCCUUGUGUAAAGCAUAAAAUAGCCUGGAUCAGAGGGGACCUUGAAGGCCACCCAGUCCCAAUCCCACCCAGCCAUGAACACUUCCAGCAAUGUGGUACUCACACUGCUCUGGGCAGCCUGUGCUGGAGCCUCACCACCCUCCAAGUAAAGAAUUUCCUAAUAUCUAACCUUAAUCUCCCCACUUUUAGUUUAAAACCAUCCCCCCUUGUCCUGUCACAAUCAGACUGUGUAACAAGUUUCUCUCCCAGCAGUUUACAAGCUCCCAUCAAGUAGCAGAAGGCCACAGUAAGGUCUCCAUGGAGCCUUCUCUUCUCCAGACUGAACAAGCCCAACUGCCUCAGCCUUUCAUCACAGGAGAAGUGCUCCAGCCCUCUGUGUACAUGGCUAAAGCUGCAGGUCCAAGCCUCAGGCUGCCACGGGGUUUCCUGAGGCUGCCGUGGUGUGAGAGCAGCAGGGAUGGGAUGGGGUGCCAUGCAGCCCCACAGACAGUGCAAAAGCAACAGCAAGCAGAAGUUCCCUAUGUGCCUCUAACAUUAUCAGCUUUCCAUCUGGAUUCAGUGGUUAUUAUUAAAUGCCUACAAAAUGAGUGAGAAUCCUGCCAUUGUCUCAACUGGUCUUUGAACUGGGGACUCCUAAGCAGGGGUUACAUUAGUCUUCUUUUGUUCUGUAUUCCCAUGAUGCUUUUUUAAAAAAAGAAACUGAAAUAUGGCAAUGCUAGUUUUACCCUGAACAUCAGAGGUGGAAGGGAUGCUUAGAGGAGAUUAAAGUCCCAGGCUUUGCAGUUCCUAUAGUAAGUUAUGACUGUACAUCAGCAGCAGUAAGCAGAGCACAACACACUAGCUAGACCUGUGUUCUAUUCAAGUGCCUGGGGCCCCAACUGAAAUUUAAUAAGCAAAUGUAAAAUUUUAGUGCUUUGGAAUGGAAACUUUAUGGUAACCUCUUUCUGCAGACCCUUUUAAAAUGGUGUAUCACUUGUAUGGUUUGUGCAGUGCACCUUAGAUGCUGAAUCCAGCCUGCUGUUGUGCCAUCAGCACUACCUCUUCCCAGGGUCGGGCAGCAUCUGUGCAGAGCUGUGCCUGGUUCUUGCAGAGGGAUGGCACACCAGGCUGAAGCUAGGUGAAUCUUCUGGUGCUAAAUGCAAUUCUGAGUGGGGAUAUCUUCCCUGCAGCCCCCAUUCACGUGGCUUCUGAUGCUGACAGGUAAGACAAGUAGGAGAAUCUGCAUUGGAGAUUUUUUUUAAACCAUAUUCAGGGAUAUUUACAAAGAGCAGAUCCUGGUUUUGGUGAUGGGACCUAAAGGACAUGACUUCUCCUAGUACUGGUUGUUCUUAAUCCUUGAGUCAUUCUUCAGUUCUCAAAAUACAGAAGAUUUCUAUGAAAUCCUCUGAAUUUAUUAUUGUUUUUAUUUCCCCCCCAAAGGCAAAAAUUCAUUUAUUGCUCAAGGUGUUGCCUGUCAGAGCAUGUCUGAGUCACCACUGAGGAUGCAGAACCAUCUGAUGGGAAAUGAGAAAGAAGAUCCUAAUUUUAAAUAUCCAUUGCCCCUGCUUCCUGUGCAGCAGUAAGUGAGGAAUGUGUGUUCUCCUCUGUUUGUUGCUGGCUUGUGUUUCACUGUAUCUGGUAUUUAGAGUUUCUUCAUUGUGAUGGCUCAUGGAGACUUGUCAUAAGCUGUUCCUUGUCUCUCUCCAAGCAUGAAAAUCAAGUUUUGGGGGUUGUGCUUAGAAUCAGAUCGUAUCAGUAGCUGUUGGCAGGAAUUCACAGAGAUGCCAAAGAGAGCUUUACUUUUUCCCCAGUUCCCUACCACUCUUUCCCAUUGGUACCAGCUGGUACAGUGCAUUUGUCUUGGAUUUUUUCAGUUUACUCAAUACCUCCAACAUCCCUUGCUGUUUUUAGGAGAUGAGGAGGCUGACCAGCACUUAAUAAGUGCUUACCAUCUUAAACAUGGUCUUAAUGUUAUACCUGGCUUAUAUGUGUAAGAGAUAGUUGUGAUUCUUAUGCUGCUGGGGUACCUUCUCUGUGCUUUUUCUGAUUUGGAGCCCAACAUGAGGCUGUCUCAACCUGCAUAUUCAGGUAUGGGUACUGAGGACAGAAAUUACAUCCACUUUUUCAAACUCUCUCCUCACACUUCUAUUUAUUUCAGUUUGCUCCUUUCUCUUUUGCAAAUGGCAGAUAAGUCUUGUCAGUGUUUUUUUGGCUUUGCAGCGAUUUCUUUUCUUUUCUAUCUCCAGUAAUGUGCAAAUCUAAUGGUUUGCUAUUUCUGCUAAAUGUAUUUAUUUCCAAGCUCUCUAAUUCUUGUGCUUUUUUUUGUUGGGUGAGAGAAGAGACAAAUUUCCAGCAGUCAAAAAAUAAACCAUCCGCAGUUCAAGAAAAAAUUGAACCCUUUCUAAUCAUUGCUAUAAAAAGUAAUUGUUGCAUGUGGGUUCCUUGUCAAGAUUGGAAGGCUGACCAGUAGGUCCCCGAGAAGCCUCUAGUGAUGUGUCUGCUGGAUUGGAGGUGUAUCACAGGUGAGCAGAACAGUAACUACAUGAGCCCUUAAAGUGGAGUGAAUGCAGAUGACACUUUUAUUCAUGCUCAGCCAGAUUGCUUGGUAUUGUAUCCUUUCUGAAGGAAAGUGAAAAAUGACACUCUGGCAACAGGCCACUGACUGCACAGCAACUUGGCGUGGGUCUCCUGUUUGUCUCAGCCUGAGAUGAACAUCACCAGAGAUGCCAGACUGCUAGCCACAAGCUGAGAGUGUUAGAGAAUGUCUUCCUUUAAUCACAUCUCUGCCAUUUUUAGAGAAAAAUACAUGAAGGAGGAGGGACAUUUCCUGUCUGUUUGGAUCCUUGGUGGCACCAGUGGUAGUGGUUUUAUCUCCCUUUGCAUAAGCUCUCCUAGCUAAGACUAAUUGGUAAGCUCAGUGCAGUUUAUCUAGCCCCAGAUAUGAAUUAUUUUUCAAAGCUUCUCAUUUUUUUGCUUCCCAUUUUCCUUUUAUUUUAUUGUAUUUUAAGGGGAGUUUUUGAAAGCCCUCAAGGGAUUAGGAAGACAAAACUGUUCGACUUCCAGUUGCAUCUGAGCCACCGUAGCUAUUGCAGUGGGCACCAACGUGGCCAGAACCACCUUGGGACGUUUCAUAUGGAAACUCCAUGGUUUGUAACUGUGAGCUUUCACGAGAUGACUGGGUACACCAUGAAUGUAACUCACAGCUCAGUCUGGCACUGUGUUGUAACUGAGGUCUUGGUAUGAAAACCUGUGUGGCCACAGGGGAUUUUCAUCAUUAUACAAUAAUCCACAUCAUAAAUAAUCUUUCCAGGCUCCUUCUUGAAUCCUUCUAUGAAAAACAGUUUAAAGAGAGAAACUGGAGGAAGAUUUUCCUCUUCAAAGAACAUUUAAACUAUUAAUUUUGUAGGAAGCCUGGAUAUUAUACAAUUUCAAUGUUUUUUAUUUCAUCCAAGCAAUGGCACAAUAAGAUAUACAACAGCCGCCACUGUGGACUAGGAAACAUUCGACUGAAAAACUGGAGUUUAUGUUCUUCCCAUUGGAACUGGCUGCUAUCUGUGCCUGCCUCUAUGGGGUGGGUAUUUCCCUGACUAAAUAGUUGUGUUUUUCUGAAGUUAGGGCAGUAUCUUUGCUUUCAGCAUUGAUGCAGCAUGACAUGUACAGUAGGACCUGUCAUAAUCCAUGAAGUCAGUUCUGUUUCAAUGUUAAUAAGUCCUUAAUCAAGCCAUUUGUUUCCUCCAGGAUGUCACAUUUAGCAGCUGAUUGUGAAAUGCUUGAGAACAGGAAUUAUAGGAACAUUAUUUAAUGCUAAGUGUUAUCCACAUCAUAUCUGAAGCUUGAACAUGCCAGGAAAACAUCCUUCAUAUACUGCAAAUAAUCUAUCCGAGCUUUCAGGAUCAAUCAUGAAUUGGCUGGGGUCAUCUGACUUGUCCCUCUUCUCGUCUCGCCGUGUUCCCUGUCGGAUCGACUCGCUACUGCUGCUCCCGACUGCGCGCAAGGCUUCAGUACUAGCGUAAGGCCUUUGGCUCUCGGACAAUCUUUCUCUCAAUUAUUGUUGAUUUAUACUGUAUUAUAGUGUGUUAUCUUACAUUCCGAUACUAUAUUUAGUAAAUUAGUUUGUUUCUCCUCAGAUCGUUGCCGC
rnacentral:lncRNA from 1 species